CCUGCUCAGAAUUUAAAAAUAUGUAUAUAUUAAUAUGUUGAAGUAAUUUUGUUAUAAUUGCUAUUUCAAAAUACUGUUCUAGGGUCCCUGAAAAAUUCUAGAACAGUAGGAUUUAGCAAACGUGUUUCAUACGCCUGACUGUCAUUAAGGCAAUUCAAAUCAUCUCGUCAUGCUAAAAUGCUUCAAGAUUGUGGAGCUAAAUAAAACUCAAAUUGAACAUUGAACUAUCAUGAAAUAAGUUCAAAUACCAUGACACUGCCAUUCUGAAGAACUCGAAUGUCGUCUGUCUGCCAGAUAAUUCCAGCCCUCCAUCCAACUCAACCAAGGUGCCAACCAUCAUGGUAAAGAAGUUGCCUUGGAAGUGGAUACUCCAGCACUACUCCUCCAAGUUCCAUGCAAACCAGUCUACCUCAUGGACAGCUGUGGUAUCCACAUUUCUGUGUGAUUCAAGUAAGUUCGGAACUAAAUAUUCCCUUAAUAUAUUUAGUUAUUUUGCUUGGUCUAAAAGGUACAGUCUCCUAUAUUAAUAAUAAUAGCACACUUUGGGCAAGGACAAGAGGAUAGUUUAAAUAUGCACUUGUGAUUUUAUAGCAGAAAUAUUCCUCAAAGGUACUUACAUUUAAGGGACUCAGUCUGUGAAGCAACUCAAGCCUGAAAAUUACAGUUGGA
ensembl:lncRNA